ensembl:lncRNA
CAAAAUGUAUUUUUGAUGCUUCAAAAAAUUCUAACGGACCCUCUGAUGUCACAUGGACUACUUUGAUGAUGUUUUUAUUACCUUUCUGGACGUGGACAGUAUACCGUACAUACAUUCUCAAUGGAGGGACUGAAAGCUCUCGGACUAAAUCUAAAAUAUCUUAAACUGUGUUCUGAAGAUGAACGGAGGUCUUACGGGUUUGGAACGACAUGAGGGUGAGUCAUUAAUGACAUAAUUUUAAUAUUUGGGUGAACUAACCCUUUAAGGACUUUUACAUUUAGAAAAGUUGUCUUAUAAAUUUUGUAUGCAUUUAAAAUAAUUCACAGUACUUUAAUAAACUUUUCAAGGUUGCUCUCCUGUAACUGAUGACAAGUCCUAUGUAAUAUAUAUUUCUUUGUCAGUAACCUGGAUUCAUUUCUCGGAGAAACAAAUCCACACUAUAAAUAUUUCACUUGAUUUGUAAAUCAAACCCAAAGAGUGUCCUCCCAACAGUUUUGUGAAACUUUCCAAUAUGAAAGCCAUUAGGCAAAGGGCAAUGGAGACUCCAUUGAAGCAGACGGGCCUGUUAAUGUCACCAAUAUGCUAUUAACGUCCAUUUAAAAAAAUCUUUCUCCAUCUAAUUUGGAAUCCAUCAGUGCAAACUUAUCCGCCUGUCUCCAUUACUUGUAGCAAUAAAGACAGAAAUGCAGCACGAGUGAGCGAGACGGGCGGCUGAGCUUCCUCUGUUAUCACUGGGCUGUUUUAUCUUCUGCUCCUUCUGAGUGUUUAUGCACAUACUGUUCUCCCAUCACGCUACUCAUGCAUCCUAACAGAGUUCCCAGAGCCAGAUUUCCUUCAAAAAACCCAGUUGUCUGAAAUGGGGAGAGCUAAAGUUACCGCCAGCCAUCAGAGGUGUUUUACAAGAAAGUCCCGUUCAAGGCAACCUUGAUGAAUCCCGUGCAUAAGAGAUCAGACCUGAUGUCAGAGCUCAUAAGAGUCGGAAGCAUCAGUGAAGGACGAGCGGCGCGGCGCGUCUCUCACUGAUAAAUUGCAUAAUGGACACCUCGGCUGGUCUGGGCCUUUGGGACGCG